GACGAACGCUGGCGGCGUGCUUAACACAUGCAAGUCGAACGGAAAGGCCCUGCUUUUGUGGGGUGCUCGAGUGGCGAACGGGUGAGUAACACGUGAGUAACCUGCCCUUGACUUUGGGAUAACUUCAGGAAACUGGGGCUAAUACCGGAUAGGAGCUCCUGCUGCAUGGUGGGGGUUGGAAAGUUUCGGCGGUUGGGGAUGGACUCGCGGCUUAUCAGCUUGUUGGUGGGGUAGUGGCUUACCAAGGCUUUGACGGGUAGCCGGCCUGGGAGGGUGACCGGCCACAUUGGGACUGAGAUGCGGCCCAGACUCCUACGGGAGGCAGCAGUGGGGAAUAUUGCACAAUGGGCGGAAGCGUGAUGCAGAAACGCCGGGUGCGGGAUGACGGCCUUCGGGUUGUAAACCGCUUUCGCCUGUGACGAAGCGUGAGUGACGGUAAUGGGUGAAGAAGCACCGGCUAACUACGUG
rnacentral:rRNA from 1 species